rnacentral:rRNA from 1 species
AGCGAACGCUGGCGGCAGGCUUAACACAUGCAAGUCGAAUGGUCCUUCGGGAUAGUGGCGGACGGGUGAGUAACACGUGGGAACGUACCCUUAGGUUCGGAACAACACAGGGAAACUUGUGCUAAUACCGGAUAAGCCCUUCGGGGGAAAGAUUUAUCGCCUUUGGAGCGGCCCGCGUCUGAUUAGCUUGUUGGUGAGGUAAUGGCUCACCAAGGCUACGAUCAGUAGCUGGUCUGAGAGGAUGGCCAGCCACACGGGGACUGAGACACGGCCCAGACUCCUACGGGAGGCAGCAGUGGGGAAUCUUGCGCAAUGGGCGAAAGCCUGACGCAGCCAUGCCGCGUGGAUGAUGAAGGUCUUAGGAUUGUAAAAUCCUUUCACCGGGGACGAUAAUGACGGUACCCGGAGAAGAAGCCCCGGCUAACUUCGUGCCAGCAGCCGCCGUAA